AAUCAAUUGGUUUCUUUACAGACAUAGAUAAACAGCCUCACUGCAGAAGUAGAUAACCUUACAAGCAAGGUGCUUAAACUUACAAUCUAACCCUUUUUGCUGAACACAAAAUGCACGCGUCUUUAUUGCCUUUCCUAUUGCAGGUUAGUUCCAUAAAGAAGGAAUAUGAUGAAGCCCAAUCUGAGCUCAAUUUGAGUCAUUCAAAGAUGAAAGAAUGUGACGCUGAGAUCAGUGCCAUUGUCACGGAGCAAUAGAAGCUUCAACAUAAAAUUAGUGAUGCAAAUGUUGAGAGGAAAAAAUUGGAAAAUGAGAUUAAGUGAAUGGAGAUUGAACAGAAAGAUUUCUCCCUGAAGGUAGAUAAACUACUAGAAAGGCAUAGUUGGAUUGCAGCUGAGAAACAAUUAUUUGGAAAAAGUGGGACAGAUUAUGACUUCUCAUCUCGUGAUCAUCGUAAAUCAAGGGAGGAGCUUGAGAAACUUCAAGCUGAACAAUUUGGAAGAAGGUUAAUGGACAUGCAUCUCAGUUAAUCUGAUUAAUUGCUUUCAGCCUUGAGAAGAGGGUCAACAGAAAAGUUAUGGCAAUGUUCGAGAAAGCUGAAGAUGAAUACAAUGACUCAUUAUCCAAGAAAAACAUCAUUGAGAAUGAUAAGUCAAAAAUCAAGAAGGUGAUUGAAGAGCUUGAUGAAAAGAAGAAGGAAACACUAAAAGUUACUUGGGUUAAAGUGAACAAGCUGACAAGCUAAAGAAGUUAGUGGAGGAUGAAAUUCAUUUUCUCAAGGGAAGGGUUUCAGAACUUGAAAGUGAUCUUGUGUCGAAGUCCACAGAAGUUACAUCUGCAGUUUUCAGGAAAGAAGAAGCUUUAUCUUCUGCAUUUGUUGAAAUUGACCGUCUGAAGGAAGAAAAUUCUGUAAAAACGUGAGCAU